AAUAGGCACAAUUAACGUGUCCUCCCCUGCCGUGGACGUUGCCGCUGGCGAUUGUGACGGCCACGAGAAUCCCCUCUGUGUCGGCGUCCCUGGCGGCUGCACUCGCCGAGCCAUCCUCGGGAUCAUCCGCGGGUUCUUUCCCUUGGGCUCUCCGAGACCUAGCACCCAUUCCCUUAUUUCACCUCCCGUCGAGGAAGACCGGUAAGAGUAGGCAGGGGGAGAUGGGAAUGGGAGGUCGGUCCUGUGGUACGCGGUGAGGGACGAGGCACCGCUGCGGCAGGAGAAGAAAGCGCGGGCGGGAGCUGACGCCCGCGGAGCGCCUGCUCGACCUCGUCGAGCUGAAGCGGCUGCGGCGGGCGGGAUGGGGGACGGGUCGGUGCGGGCCAAGAAGUCCGGGGUGACGACAAGGUGAUGAAGGGCGUGUGCAGGGUGUGAUCCGGCUGCCAGGAUCUCGCUACCGUCUGGGUCGUCGGGCCGCAAUGUGGGGUGACGGAAGCCACGACAAACCCGCAGCAGCCGGUGGUGGCCGCCUCCGGUGGGCGGCACACGAGGCCUCCUAGCCGGCGUCGCAGUCGGCAAGCAAGCCUGAGAAGUGGCGUGGUGGAGCGGCCCCUGGGUUGCAGUCAUCAAUAAUAAAGGGCCUCCCUUAGCUGGUAUAAUGUGAGGUACAAGGCUGAGGAGAUUUUCAAGGAUUUGAUGGCCAAGACUCCCAAGUUCAAUGACCUGCUGCGGUUGCCCAAUCACCGAGACAGGCCCCACCGCAUUCUCCCCAUAGGAUCCUGGUCUUUCUUCGAGUGUCCGGAAAAAUGAUUCAACGCACGUUUGCCAGAAACUGUAGAAACACGUGUUGAGCAUGUCAGUCUAUGCAUGGGCAGGAGUGAACCUGUAGAUUAUGCUGGAGACGAGUAUCCAAAAAAAGUCUUCGAGAUGGCGUUGCUGCUGCUGCUGCUCCAGUGCUCCUUCUAUGGGCAAAGUGGAGGCUGCAGUUCGAGGACUUCAAGGAGGAAAGGAAGACAUGAUUGCUUCUUGGAGAGAGGCUUUCAUUUACAGAGAAGCACAUCAAUGGAGAAAAAAGGUGUGGUGAAAGGCAAUCUGUUUCAGCAUUGAGCAGUCACAUGGCAAGUAUAAGGGACAUCCUCACUGCAACAGAGAGGUUGAAAUAAGAAGUUGAGGUGAUCAAUCAAGGCAAUAAAUUGUAUCAUAUUCUUCUGAAUGAAGAGGUACCUAUCCCCACUGUUUCAAAAUCGAAUAUCGGAAUGGUGCUUUGGUUUUUUUACUCUUAUUUGUUGCAGCGCAUCGCGACGAUGACGAGCACUUGUGUUUUUGACAUGCUGCACGUCUGUUUUUGUCGACCUUUGAUUCAUGUAUAUAUGUAAAUUCUAUGGAAAUGUAUCAUAUGAAAUGUGAAUUCAUAACUCUAUGUUUGAUGUAAUCUUUAUUAUG